AGUACCAGGAUUCUUUGGGCGGUGAGUGCCAGAGGGCCCCAGUCACCCAGAACCCCCACCCCGAGUCAAAGCGCUGAAAUGAGCCCCGCGGCAGGGGCCGUGUUCAUUACCUUUGAAAAUGCUCAGUUCUUCUUCGGUCCAGGGCGGGGCAGAAGGGAGGAUGCAGAGGGAGAAACAGCUGUGGAGGAGUGGGAAGGUUGAGUGGAGGAAGGGAUAUCUGCCUCCAACCACGCU
rnacentral:lncRNA from 1 species